AAUAUACUCCCUCCGUUUAGAAUUACUUGUCGUACAAAUUCAUGUAUCUAGACGUAUUUUAGUUCUAGAUACAUUCAUAUCCGAGACGAGUAAUUCCGAACGGAGGGAGUAUAAG
rfam:Triticum aestivum genome assembly, contig: Triticum_aestivum_CS42_TGACv1_scaffold_212022_3AS